GAGGUCCGACCUGCCCAGUGAUAUUAAUUCAACGGCCGCGGUAUACUGACCGCGCUAAGGUAGCACAAUCACUUGUCUCCUAAAUCGGGACUAGUAUGAAAGGACCCACGAGAGUCUAACUGUCUCCUUUUUUUAAUCCGUGAAACUAAUCCCCCCGUGAAAAAGCGGGGAUCAUGAUAUAAGACGAGAAGACCCUAUGGAGCUUUAGAUAAAACAAUACUUCUUUCUUCCCCCCCCCUUUUUCAGAAAAAUACCCCCACAAAGCACUCUAUUGUUAAACUUCGGUUGGGGCGACCGCGGAGCAAAGCCAACCCUCCACGCGAGUGGAAAUUCUCCCACAACAAAGAGCUACAACUCUAUGAACCAAAAAUUGCUAAUUGACCCAAUGUUUGAUCAACGAAACAAGUUACCCUAGGGAUAACAGCGCAAUCUACU
rnacentral:rRNA from 2 species